rnacentral:rRNA from 1 species
GUCGAGCGGUAGCACAGAGAGCUUGCUCUCGGGUGACGAGCGGCGGACGGGUGAGUAAUGUCUGGGAAACUGCCUGAUGGAGGGGGAUAACUACUGGAAACGGUAGCUAAUACCGCAUAACGUCGCAAGACCAAAGUGGGGGACCUUCGGGCCUCAUGCCAUCAGAUGUGCCCAGAUGGGAUUAGCUAGUAGGUGGGGUAACGGCUCACCUAGGCGACGAUCCCUAGCUGGUCUGAGAGGAUGACCAGCCACACUGGAACUGAGACACGGUCCAGACUCCUACGGGAGGCAGCAGUGGGGAAUAUUGCACAAUGGGCGCAAGCCUGAUGCAGCCAUGCCGCGUGUGUGAAGAAGGCCUUCGGGUUGUAAAGCACUUUCAGCGGGGAGGAAGGCGUUAAGGUUAAUAACCUUGGCGAUUGACGUUACCCGCAGAAGAAGCACCGGCUAACUCCGUGCCAGCAGCCGCGGUAAUACGGAGGGUGCAAGCGUUAAUCGGAAUUACUGGGCGUAAAGCGCACGCAGGCGGUCUGUCAAGUCGGAUGUGAAAUCCCCGGGCUCAACCUGGGAACUGCAUUCGAAACUGGGAGGCUAGAGUCUUGUAGAGGGGGGUAGAAUUCCAGGUGUAGCGGUGAAAUGCGUAGAGAUCUGGAGGAAUACCGGUGGCGAAGGCGGCCCCCUGGACAAAGACUGACGCUCAGGUGCGAAAGCGUGGGGAGCAAACAGGAUUAGAUACCCUGGUAGUCCACGCCGUAAACGAUGUCGAUUUGGAGGUUGUGCCCUUGAGGCGUGGCUUCCGGAGCUAACGCGUUAAAUCGACCGCCUGUGGAGUACGGCCGCAAGGUUAAAACUCACAUGAAUUGACGGGGGGCCGCACAAGCGGUGGAGCAUGUGGUUUAAUUCGAUGCAACGCGAAGAACCUUACCUGCUCUUGACAUCCCACAGAACUUUAUCAGAGAUGCAUUGGUGCCUUCGGGAACUGUGAGACAGGUGCUGCAUGGCUGUCGUCAGCUCGUGUUGUGAAAUGUUGGGGUAGUCCCGCAACGAGCGCACCUUAUCCUUUU